rnacentral:rRNA from 1 species
UACGUAGGGGGCUAGCGUUGUCCGGAAUCAUUGGGCGUAAAGAGCGUGUAGGCGGUCCGGUAAGUCCGCUGUGAAAGUCGGGGGGCUCAACCCUCGAAUGCCGGUGGAUACUGUCGGGCUUGAGUACGGGAAGAGGCGAGUGGAAUUCCUGGUGUAGCGGUGAAAUGCGCAGAGUAUCAGGAGGAACACCAAUUGCGAAGGCAGCUCGCUGGGACGUUACUGACGCUGAGACGCGAA